CAGCCGCCGCGGUAAUACCGGCGGCCCGAGUGGCGGCCACUAUUAUUGGGCCUAAAGCGUCCGUAGCCGGGCUGGUAAGUCCUCCGGGAAAUCUGGUCGCUUAACGAUCAGACUUCCGGAGGAUACUGCUGGCCUAGGGACCGGGAGAGGCCGAGGGUAUUCCCGGGGUAGGGGUGAAAUCCUGUAAUCCCGGGAGGACCACCUGUGGCGAAGGCGCUCGGCUGGAACGGGUCCGACGGUGAGGGACGAAGGCCAGGGGAGCGAACCGGAUGAGAUACCCGGGUAGUCCUGGCGGUAAACGAUGCGGACUAGGUGUCGGGCAAGCUAAGGGCUUGUCCGGUGCCGCAGGGAAGCCGUUAAGUCCGCCGCCUGGGGAGUACGGCCGCAAGGCUGAAACUUAAAGGAAUUGGCGGG
rnacentral:rRNA from 1 species